rnacentral:rRNA from 1 species
ACACGACUACAUUAGAUACCCGCGUAGUCCCAGCCCUAAACGAUGCGCGUUAGGUGUAUCGGUGACCACGAGUCACCGAGGUGCCGAAGGGAAACCGUGAAACGUGCCGCCUGGGAAGUACGGUCGCAAGGCUGAAACUUAAAGGAAUUGGCGGGGGAGCACAACAACGGGUGGAGCUUGCGGUUUGAUUGGAUUCAACGCCGGAAAUCUUACCGGGACCGACAGCAACAUGAAGGCCAAGCUGAAGACUUUGCCGGAUUAGCUG